rnacentral:misc_RNA from 1 species
GAUGAAGAACGUAGCGAAAUGCGAUAAGUAAUGUGAAUUGCAGAAUUCAGUGAAUCAUCGAAUCUUUGAACGCACAUUGCGCCCGCCAGUAUUCUGGUGGGCAUGCCUGUCUGAGCGUCAUUUCAACCCUCAUGCCCCUAGGGCGUGGUGUUGGGGAUCGGCCAAAGCCCGCGAGGGACGGCCUGCCCCUAAAUCUAGUGGCGGACCCGUCGUGGCCUCCUCUGCGAAGUAGUGAUAUUCCGCAUCGGAGAGCGAUGAGCCCCUGCCGUUAAACCCCCAACUUUCCAAGGUUGACCUCAGAUCAGGUAGGAAUACCCGCUGAACUUAAGCAUAUCAAUAAGCGGAGGA